GUCUCUUUGGCAGCACAUAUCCUAAAGUUGGACCAAUACAGAGAAGAUUGGUGUGGUCCCUGUGCAAGUUGACACACCCAUUGCAUUAUCCAUACCCAUCCUAU